rnacentral:rRNA from 1 species
AGUGAACGCUGGCGGUAGGCCUAACACAUGCCAGUCGAACGGCAGCACAGUAAGAGCUUGCUCUUACGGGUGGCGAGUGGCGGACGGGUGAGGAAUACAUCGGAAUCUACUUUUUCGUGGGGGAUAACGUAGGGAAACUUACGCUAAUACCGCAUACGACCUACGGGUGAAAGCAGGGGAUCUUCGGACCUUGCGCGAUUGAAUGAGCCGAUGUCGGAUUAGCUAGUUGGCGGGGUAAAGGCCCACCAAGGCGACGAUCCGUAGCUGGUCUGAGAGGAUGAUCAGCCACACUGGAACUGAGACACGGUCCAGACUCCUACGGGAGGCAGCAGUGGGGAAUAUUGGACAAUGGGCGCAAGCCUGAUCCAGCCAUACCGCGUGGGUGUAGAAGGCCUUCGGGUUGUAAAGCCCUUUUGUUGGGAAAGAAAAGCAGCAGGUUAAUACCCCGCUGUUCUGACGGUACCCAAAGAAUAAGCACCGGCUAACUUCGUG